UGGCGGAUAGGAAGACUAACGGUGGC
rnacentral:piRNA from 1 species